rnacentral:rRNA from 1 species
GAUGAACGCUGGCGGCGUGCCUAAUACAUGCAAGUCGAGCGAACAGAUGAGGAGCUUGCUCCUCUGACGUUAGCGGCGGACGGGUGAGUAACACGUGGAUAACCUACCUAUAAGACUGGGAUCACUUCGGGAAACCGGAGCUAAUACCGGAUAAUAUAUUGAACCGCAUGGUUCAAUAGUGAAAGACGGUUUUGCUGUCACUUAUAGAUGGAUCCGCGCCGCAUUAGCUAGUUGGUAAGGUAACGGCUUACCAAGGCAACGAUGCGUAGCCGACCUGAGAGGGUGAUCGGCCACACUGGAACUGAGACACGGUCCAGACUCCUACGGGAGGCAGCAGUAGGGAAUCUUCCGCAAUGGGCGAAAGCCUGACGGAGCAACGCCGCGUGAGUGAUGAAGGUCUUCGGAUCGUAAAACUCUGUUAUUAGGGAAGAACAAAUGUGGAAGUAACUAUGCACGUCUUGACGGUACCUAAUCAGAAAGCCACGGCUAACUACGUG